GCUGGGCGUGGUGGCUCACGCCUGUAAUCCCAGGUACUCGGGAGGCUGAGGCAGGAGAAUCGCUUGAACCCAGGAGACAGAAGUUGCAGUGAGCCGAGAUCAUGCCACUGCAGCCUGGGUGACAGAGCAAGACUCUGUCUCAA
rnacentral:SRP_RNA from 1 species